CAGCAAAAAGAAAUAUUCCGCUGCAAAAUAAAUGAUGUCUCAAAUAUAGAACUGUCUUCAAGCGCUUUUGAAAAAUGUCGUUAUCGCUUCAAGCGCUGUCGGCGCUCAAAUUCAAUUCCUCCCUUCGACUAUUUCUGAUAGUCAUUGAGCUCCAUUCAAAAUACGUUUCAGUACGGUCUCCAUCUCCAAACGCAACGGACGUGCGUUCUCCAUACAUAACCAUACAAAAUUGACACAUUUUUUUUGAAAUUAACAACGUAAUACUCGCUUCCCGCGCGUGUGACUUAUUUGACGUAAUUUCAACAAAAUGGCGGGCGUAUUUUUGUGUUUUUUUUCUCGAACGCAAGUGUUGUAUCGUUUGUGCCUGUAAUAAUAGUUGCAAAACGAUGGCUCCGAGUUUCAAAAAGCAAUAACGAAUGCAGUUAAAUAUUCGAGAUUAUGUACUUGGUUGUUUACAAACAAAUAUUAAAGCUUCUGCUGGAUCAAGAUGUUUAGAAGAGCGAUUUACUACGAUUGUUAAUAAAAAAUGAAAUUGUUUUGUGAAAAAUAAUUUAUAUUUAUUAUAAAAGUAUUGUUGUUCAUAGUUAUUUGAUGACGUAUUGUAAAACUGAACAUGUGAUUUUUAUUUUUUGUGCCGUAUGCCUUUUUUCACAGGACUUGCAACGAGCUGAGGAAUCCUCGUAUAAGAGUUAAUUCAGUUUCUGCAUUUUACUCUGUGACAAACUCCCAAUUUGCUCACACAUAGGAUGCAGUCACUUGGAAGCGCCAUCUUGUACUCUAAACUUGAACUAAAAGUGGCGCGCUACUUGCCGACAGAUGGCGUUACUAGUACCUUUACUACAUCUCCCGGAAAAUAUUUUAUAUGAAAAAAGAAGCUUCUAGAAGUGAAAAGAAUGUGUUGUGCCGUGCCCUUGUCAUUCUUCUUGCCCGUGUGCUUAAGACUACUGGACGGAGAACUGAUAAGGGCAUGUCCAACAUAAAAUCGACGGCAGAAGAUUAUCAAAGAACAGAAAUGAAAAUGGAAGAAUAAUUAUGUGACUUUAUAAUUGUGUAUAUCAUUAAUGUAUUCUGUGUAUAUUAGAAUACAUGAUACAUAUUUAUAUUGAUGACUAGCUGUUGCCCGCGACUUCGUCCCCGUGGGUAGAAGAUACAAGUUAUGAUUUAUA